rnacentral:tmRNA from 1 species
GGGGGUGACAGGUUUCGACGGACAGUCGCUCUGCCCGGAGAAGCGUGCCGAGAAGCUCAGGUGAUCUCGUUAAACAUCCUGGGAAACAAAUAACUGCCAAAAAGACGCAGUCUGCAGACGCUUACGCCCUCGCGGCCUAAGUUUUAAAUCUGCCGUCAGCCCAAUGCGUCCCUGAAUUGGGGCCUGACGUCGUUAGGGGACUCACCAAUCGCUCCGGUCACGGGAGCGGGCGGAAAACCAAACAGUGACUGGGCCGCCACCGCGAAGUGCCGUACAAAGCGCGGGGGCCGAGAC